rnacentral:rRNA from 1 species
GGCCUUGACAUACUAAGAACUUUCCAGAGAUGGAUUGGUGCCUUCGGGAACUUAGAUACAGGUGCUGCAUGGCUGUCGUCAGCUCGUGUCGUGAGAUGUUGGGUUAAGUCCCGNAACGAGCGCAACCCUUUUCCUUAUUUGCCAGCGGGUCAUGCCGGGAACUUUAAGGAUACUGCCAGUGACAAACUGGAGGAAGGCGGGGACGACGUCAAGUCAUCAUGGCCCUUACGGCCAGGGCUACACACGUGCUACAAUGGUCGGUACAAAGGGUUGCUACCUCGCGAGAGGAUGCUAAUCUCAAAAAGCCGAUCGUAGCCCGGAUCGCAGUCUGCAACUCGACUGCGUGAAGUCGGAAUCGCUAGUAAUCGCGGAUCAGAAUGCCGCGGUGAAUACGUUCCCGGGCCUUGUACACACCGCCCGUCACACCAUGGGAGUUUGUUGCACCAGAAGUAGGUAGUCUAACCGCAAGGAGGACGCUUACCACGGUGUGGCCGAUGACUGGGGUGAAGUCGUAACAAGGUAGGCGUAGAUGA